rnacentral:rRNA from 1 species
UGGUGGAGUGAUUUGUCUGGUUAAUUCCGAUAACGAACGAGACUCUAGCCUGCUAAAUAGACGGGCGAUCCCUUCGUGGGUCGACCCGAUUUGCUUCUUAGAGGGACAAGUGGGGUUCCUAGCCACGCGAAAUUGAGCAAUAACA